UACGUAGGGUCCAAGCGUUAUCCGGAAUCACUGGGCGUAAAGCGUGCGUAGGCGGCUCGUUUAGUGCGAUGCGAAAUCGUGUGGCUCAACCAUACGACUGUGUCGCAUACUGGCGGGCUUGAGGACGGCAGAGGCAAGUGGAAUUACGGGUGUAGCAGUGAAAUGCGUAGAGAUCCGUAGGAACACCAAUGGCGAAGGCAGCUUGCUGGGCCGACCCUGACGCUAAGGCACGAAAGCGUGGGGAGCGAACAGG
rnacentral:rRNA from 1 species